rnacentral:tRNA from 1 species
GCUCCGGUGGCCUAAUGGUUAAGGCAUCUGACUUCUAAUCAGGAGAUUGCGGGUUCGAGUCCCGUCCGGAGUA